GAGUCUCUGUGUGAGUCUCUGUGUGAGUCUCUGAGCGAGUCUCCGAGUGAGUCUCUGAGCGAGUCUCUGAGUGACUCACAGGGCGACUCACAGGGCGACUCACAGGGCGACUCACAGGGUGACUCACAGGGUGACUCACAGGGCGAGUCUCUGAGCGACUCACAGGGCGACUCACAGGGCGACUCACAGGGCGAGCGAGGAAGGGUUCUCAAGGUGUCUCCGCAGGAGCUGCAGGAAGGCCGCCGCUCCGUCCUGGUCCACCACUCGGCCGUCGCUCGCUAGCGACAGUGAGUCUUAGACUCUG